rnacentral:rRNA from 1 species
CAGAGGAUGAUCAGCCACACUGGGACUGAGACACGGCCCAGACUCCUACGGGAGGCAGCAGUGGGGAAUUUUCCGCAAUGGGCGAAAGCCUGACGGAGCAAGACCGCGUGGGGGAAGAAGGUUUGUGGAUUGUAAACCCCUUUUGAUUGGGAAGAUGAUGACGGUACCAAUCGAAUCAGCCUCGGCUAACUCCGUGCCAGCAGCCGCGGUAAUACGGAGGAGGCAAGCGUUAUCCGGAAUUAUUGGGCGUAAAGCGUCCGUAGGUGGAUAUUCGUGUCAGUUGUUAAAGGAUGCGGCUUAACCGCAUAAAGGCGAUUGGAACUGGAUGUCUAGAGUGCGAUAGGGGCAAGGGGAAUUCCCAGUGUAGCGGUGAAAUGCGUAGAUAUUGGGAAGAACACCGGUGGCGAAAGCGCCUUGCUGGGUCUGCACUGACACUGAGGGACGAAAGCUAGGGGAGCGAAAGGGAUUAGAUACCCCUGUAGUCCUAGCUGUAAACGAUGGGUACUAGGCGUUGUCCGAUCGACGGGCAGUGCCGUAGCUAACGCGUUAAGUACCCCGCCUGGGGAGUACGCUCGCAAGAGUGAA